rnacentral:rRNA from 1 species
UACGGAGGGGGCUAGCGUUGUUCGGAAUUAUUGGGCGUAAAGGGUGCGUAGGCGGUUUGGUAAGUCUUAUGUGAAAUCUACAGGCUCAACUUGUAGUCUGCAUGAGAAACUGCCGGGCUUGAGUAUGGGAGAGGUGAGUGGAAUUCCUGGUGUAGCGGUGAAAUGCGUAGAUAUCAGGAGGAACACCUGUGGCGAAAGCGGCUCACUGGACCAUAACUGACGCUGAUGCACGAAAGCUAGGGGAGCAAACAGG